rnacentral:rRNA from 1 species
UACGUAGGGUGCAAGCGCUGUCCGGAAUUAUUGGGCGUAAAGAGCUCGUAGGCGGUGUGUCGCGUCUGCUGUGAAAACUCAGGGCUCAACUCUGAGCUUGCAGUGGGUACGGGCACACUUGAGUGCUGUAGGGGAGACUGGAAUUCCUGGUGUAGCGGUGAAAUGCGCAGAUAUCAGGAGGAACACCGGUGGCGAAGGCGGGUCUCUGGGCAGUUACUGACGCUGAGGAGCGAAAGCAUGGGGAGCGAACAGG